rnacentral:rRNA from 1 species
CGAUUAGGGAAUAUUGGUCAAUGGAGGCAACUCUGAACCAGCCAUGUCGCGUGUAGGAAGAAGGCGUUCUGCGUUGUAAACUACUUUUGAUUGGGAACAAAUGACUCUUGCGAGAGUAGCUGAGUGUACCAAUAGAAUAAGCCACGGCUAACUACGUGCCAGCAGCCGCGGUAAUACGUAGGUGGCAAGCGUUGUCCGGAUUUAUUGGGUUUAAAGGGUGCGUAGGCGGCUUAAUAAGUCAGUGGUGAAAGCCGAUCGCUUAACGAUCGAACUGCCAUUGAUACUGCUAGGCUUGAGUAUAGUUGAGGU